GUAGAUUCAGCUAGUUAGGAAACAUCAGUAAACUUACAGAAAUCGGGGAAAAUCAUGCACUUGAUCCCUCCGAAGGCGAAGGUCACAGGUUCGAAUCCUGUCGGGUGCGCCA
rnacentral:tRNA from 1 species